rnacentral:rRNA from 1 species
GAUGAACGCUGGCGGCGUGCCUAAUACAUGCAAGUCGAGCGAACAGAUGAGGAGCUUGCUCCUCUGACGUUAGCGGCGGACGGGUGAGUAACACGUGGAUAACCUACCUAUAAGACUGGGAUAACUUCGGGAAACCGGAGCUAAUACCGGAUAAUAUAUUGAACCGCAUGGUUCAAUAGUGAAAGACGGUUUUGCUGUCAUUUAUAGAUGGAUCCGCGCCGCAUUAGCUAGUUGGUAAGGUAACGGCUUACCAAGGCAACGAUGCGUAGCCGACCUGAGAGGGUGAUCGGCCACACUGGAACUGAGACACGGUCCAGACUCCUACGGGAGGCAGCAGUAGGGAAUCUUCCGCAAUGGGCGAAAGCUUGACGGAGCAACGCCGCGUGAGUGAUGAAGGUCUUCGGAUCGUAAAACUCUGUUAUUAGGGAAGAACAAAUGUGUAAGUAACUAUGCACGUCUUGACGGUACCUAAUCAGAAAGCCACGGCUAACUACGUG